GGGGAACUAGCUCAGAUGGUAGAGCGCUCGCUUCGCAUGAGAGUUUGCGAGAGGUACUGGGUUCGAUACCCAGGUUCUCCA